rnacentral:rRNA from 1 species
GGGUCUUAAAAUACUUGGGGUAAAGCAUCCUUGGGUUUGAAUAGUACUGGGUUGGAUGACUUCCUGGGAAAUCCAAAUUUAAGAGCUU